AGGGAGUGAAUGGGACUAUGUAAUCUUCUCAACAGUUCGCUCUAAACCUCGGAUUGAGAUUGAAGAGAAGCCAAGCAGAGGGUGGCAGAGAAAACAUCUGGGUUUCAUCAAUGAUGAGAACCAGAUGAAUGUGGCUUUGACAAGAGCCAAGAGAGGUCUUAUCAUCAUAGGUAACCAGUACCUGCUACGAUGCCAUCAGAGAUGGAAGGAAAUGCUUAAGAAGUAUCAAGCAACACAGUGUCUAGUUGAAGCCAAGGAUUUUCUUAUGUGAAUUUGGCCAGUCUUUGAGAACCAUCUGGACUUUCUAGUGUGACAGCAGUCUGUCAUUCAUAGUUUAAGUGUUCCUUCUGGUACCGGUAGUCAUGAUACAUCACAUGCUAUCUUGUCUCUUAUCGAAAAAGUAGAAAACUUUUUUGACCUGGGUUCUCACACAAGAAGAAUGUCCUUAGAUUUUUCUAGUGUUUGAUAUGAUAGACCAUAGAAUUAUUUUGUAUAAACUGUCACAUGGUAUAACAGGUAUUGGUUUAGAAUGGUUCCGUAACUAUUUACUUGAACGCCACCAGUAUGGUUGCAUUGGAAAUGAUUUGUCACAACAGAAAUAUUAAUUUUGGGGUUCCUCAGGGUUUGCUGCUAUUCAUACUUUAUAUCAACGACUUCACAGAUCCUUGGAUUUAUUUUCAUUUAUUAUUCAAGCCCAGACACAAAGAUAAAGAAAAUUUAACGCUUAUAUGCGGUAUUUUAUGGUUUAAUAAAUAAUUGAGUAGCAUCGUCACAUUCACAGGCCUGCCAAACUUUUCCGCUAAAAACAGAUUUUUCCUUUUGUAAAAUUCAGAUCAACCAAUCAAUGGAGCACUCCGUUUUCAGUGCAUUUCACUUCAUUAGUUUUGUUUUAGGGGGCUGUUAUAGUCCAUGCCAUGUGCAAUUUCUAAUACACAUAUUUUCAAUAGGGAUAUCGCAAUUCUGUGAUGCAGUCGUGGAAUUGUACAGGAGGUAGAUCUCCAUGUAUGAGAUGAGCAAGUAUACUAACCGUACAUUAUUGUGAUUUUUCAUGUAGAUUUAUCUUUACGAACCGGAGUUAAAGUUGUGACUAACUUAGAUUCAUUUAUUAUUAUUGAUUUAAUUUCUUCAACUUAUAUAUGGAUAUCUAGUCGACUCACAGGCACACACACACACAACCCCAUAUACACACACUCACCCACACCGCACCCAUGUUAAACAUGCGUUUUUAUUUUUAUUUUUUGGGGGGGUGGAUUAUGGAUUUAAGAUGAGAAAUAUAUAAGCCUGCAUUUGUAUUUGUGUGGGUGUACGUGGCCAGGCUUGAGAGUGUUAAAAUGUAUUUUUUGAAACAUAAAUCUGUAUGUAAUUUCUCUGUAAUUUAAUGAGAAUUCUAAACAUGUGUUAAUUAAAAAAGUGCGGGGGUCACGCCAGCGAGCAGAUAAAAUUUUUGCUGUGCUAUUAGGACUCCUUUUUUCAUUUUCAAAUGUUGGCAUGCCUUUAUUCAUAUUCUCAAUUCAUUGACAAAUGUCAACCAUAUUUUGCAACACAUAAAGACAUGUGGAGGCCUCCUGAGAUAACUACUACUGAUUUUCUGUAAAUACUGUACAUAAAACUCAACCAAAAGGUGGGAAUAAGUGAUAAGCCAAAAUCAAGAAAUCAUAAACAUGAGCAAGAUUUCACCGCUUGCCAAGUUCAAAUUUUUAUGGGUAACAUUUAUUAGCUUACCCAAAACCAUGGCAAGAUUUCCUAGCUUACCACAUGGCCAAAGAAGGAAAAGUUAAACGUCCAUUCACAGGCUGAUCUACGAAAAAAAUUAUCAGCUUGCCGCAGCCCCCCAGGCCAAUGUUGGCACUAAUAAUCCUUGUUCUUUUAUACAAGAAUCAUAUUUUCUCUCAGGAAGCCUGUAUUUAUACAUUUUGAUAAAUUUUGAUAAACCGAUAAAGUUACUGUACAAGUGAAUAUGGUGUGGCAACAAAUGAAAUAUCGCCAAACGGGAUGUAAAGCAGUGGUAUGUUGCCAUGAGAGACAUUCUGCCGUCACAACAUGUUCUGCAUCAUGCAAAGGCCAAACCAAAUAACAUAAAACAUUGAUAAUAGGAAAAGACAGUAAUACAAUAAAAUCCUUAAAAUCUUUUCGCCCCGUUUCAAGCUGCCUUUCUAUACAGUAUCGGUUGAACCCUUAAUUUGCAGCUGAUUUUCUGAACCUUUGAAUGCUGAAUAAAUAUUUAAAAAAUUAUGUGAAUUAUCAUGAAAUGAAAGGGGGGAGGGGACAUGCCUUCUUGUAGCAUCACCAUCACAUAGUCAUUCGUGUGACUAGCCAAUAAUGAUAUUGAAACUGCGCCAAUGUUUGUGUUAUAGCGCCACCUUGUGGUGGAUUAGUUUUAGCGUUAAUGCAACGACGGUAAUUCGCCCCUUGUCGGCGCCGCGGUUGAAGUCAUGAGCUGCCUAAUAAAUUAAGGUACAAUUAUACAACUAUUGUGAGUGAAGUGUCAUUCCUUUAUUGUCGUGGUGGCAGCGGUGGGAUACUUGUUCUCAUGACUCUUCUUAUCCCGUCCCAUGGAGCGGUUCUUAUAGUUAUGAUUCAUCUCCUUGGUCGUAGGAAGUCGUCCGCGAGCAUCGCUCCUUCGCAACAGCGACCAGGCCUCUCAACAUUUUUGUUAUUUGUAGGACGCCCUCCCGGCCAGCCUCCAGACAUUGUCCUGAUUUACCAAGAGACUUUCAUGAUCCCUUUGACUCUGGGAUCUGGACAUUCGCGAGCAUGUUAUUGACAUGUUAUUUGGACUGCUGGUGUUCUACAUUCUUUGUUUAUGAACUGUUAUGAUGCAGCGUACUAUGGACACUUAAUUGCAUGUUUGAUGUAUUUUUAUUGCAUACAUAUUGUUAUGUUUUAAAAUGUACAGUAGGAUCGUUUUUGUUUUUUCCUUUUGUUUUUGUCCUUUACAUGUUAUGCAAGAUGUCUUGUUUUAUUUUGUCUUAUUCCCUCUUUACUACCGCAUUUUUAGGAAGUAUGUUUGUAGAUCUACCAUGCACAUUUCCCCUUAUUAGCCUAUUAAAACGUUCAAGUGGCGCAGCUGGAUGUGUGUAAUAUUUAUUUUUGAUGUGUGCAUGUAAUCAAUAUGCCAUUUAACUUGGCUUCAUGGACUGGCAGAGUUGCGUUAACGUUGUUUGUUCUCACAUUUCAGUGUUUACUGGCUGUGUGUGCUACAUUUAGUAUUUGUUUGUUGAGGGGAAGUGACAUGUAGAUGUUAUUCUAAUCCAUUUCUUAUUUGAUUGUAUGUGAUAUGUCUAACAUCAUUUUUCCAGGAUGUGUGUCAAGAAUCCUGCAUUAUUUGCUGUGUUUCACAUGUUUAUUUUCACCACACUAUUGAUGUAUAUAUAUAUGCACUUAUCCCUUAGCUUUGAUUGUUAUUUACGGGACGUUAUUUGUAAUUUAAUCAGCAUAACUAUGUGGUAUCCAGUGUGUCAGCAGUUCACCUGACUGUGCACAGAAUCUUUCUUGUUAUUUUGACGGUUGUGGAACGGUCCAUUUUAAUGUUUGUGAAGUUAAUGAUUUAUUGUUUUGCGUAUGUUUCAUUAUAAAAUGUCCCUGUUUAUUCAGGACAUGGUUAUACAGU